rnacentral:rRNA from 1 species
GCUUAACACAUGCAAGUCGAACGGAGUGUGCUUUUGAAAUUCCUUCGGGAACGGAUGUUGUACACUUAGUGGCGGACGGGUGAUAACGCGUGAGCAACCUGCCUUUCAGAGGGGGAUAACACAACGAAAGCUGUGCUAAUACCGCAUGACAUUGCUUUAUCGCAUGGUGAGGCAAUCAAAGGAGCAAUCCGCUGAAAGAUGGGCUCGCGUCCGAUUAGAUAGUUGGCGGGGUAACGGCCCACCAAGUCGACGAUCGGUAGCCGGACUGAGAGGUUGGCCGGCCACAUUGGGACUGAGACACGGCCCAGACUCCUACGGGAGGCAGCAGUGGGGGAUAUUGCACAAUGGGCGAAAGCCUGAUGCAGCGACGCCGCGUGAGGGAAGAAGGUCUUCCGGAUUGUAAACCUUUGUCCUAUGGGAAGAUAAUGAC